AUUGAACGCUGGUGGCAGGCCUAACACAUGCAAGUCGAACGAGUGGCGGACGGGUGAGUAAUGUCUGGGAAACUGCCUGAUGGAGGGGGAUAACUACGGGAAACGGUAGCUAAUAACGCAUACCAUCAGAUGGGCCCAGAUGUGAUUAGCUAGUUGGUGGGGUAACGGUUCACCACGGCGACGAUCCCUAGCUGGUCUGAGAGGAUGACCAGCCACACUGGAACUGAGAGACGGUCCAGAUUCCUACGGGAGGAAGCAGUGGGGAAUAUUGCACAAUGGGCGCAAGCCUGAUGCAGCCAUGCCGCGUGUAUGAAGAAGGCAUUCGGGUUGUAAAGUACUUGCAGCGGGGAGGCGUUAGCCGCAGAAGAAGCACCGGCUAACUCCGUGCCAGCAGCCGCGGUAAUAC
rnacentral:rRNA from 1 species